UGGACACGCAGGAGGACGGUGAGCUGAUUCAUCAGCCCUGCGUUAAAGAUACAUAAUGGAAUAUAAUGGAAGGGAAAAGACUCAUAACAGAGGAGAAGAAAAAGUGAAAAUCCACAGCUUUUUAGGAUCUCUAUAAAGGACUGCGUAGUGAACCUCUCUUUAAUAACUUUGACCAAAGCAAUAUUUUGCCAUUCCCCUCCUGCCACUGGAUGAUGGAGUGCGGCCAGCCCUGUGCCCUCCCGCUGCGCAGACACGGGGUACCCACAGCUCCUCGGGGGGCUCGGCACCUCUCGCUACACGGAGCCGAACAGCGUGCCUGCCACGCCGAGCAGGAGAGGGAGAAGACUUUGCAAGGGAGGAUGCUACAAAUCAGGAGGAAGGUGUGCGAGGAAGGCUGUGUGAUGGAGUGCCUGCCUGCUCUGCUGCCGCCAGCCCUCCAGCCUGGAGAGCCCGUUCCGGGGAAAUAAAGGAAAAGCAAAAAUAAUUCCAAAAUCCUCUUCUAAAAGCGUGGCCUGAUAACAAUUCCCAACCACUGCCAUGGGACAGCGUGCUUUGGACCAUUGGGACCUCCACUGCGGACAAAGCUUCCUACACUCACCAGCUUGCUGUAAAUUCCCUGAUUUCCCUUGGUCUUUUAUUUUGCAGUGCCGUGGCCGCUGAGGUCAGUUGGUUGCUCACUCGGUGGCCGGGGCAUCAAAAUGUUUUUUAUAUAUUUGCACUGCCAUAACACUUAAAAUCUUAGUGAUGGCCCAAAGCACUGCUCUGGUGGCACCACUGGCGUGGUGUGUGGCAGGGACACACGCUGUCGGUCAGGGGCUGCUCGGCCAGCGAGACUCCUCAAAAGUGCAUUUUUGGGGGCCUUCUCCCCACCAAGCACCGUACCUGUUUCCCAGAUGUAGCAAAGUCACAGAGAUACCUGGGAUAAGGUCUCCAAUCAACCUUCUGAAGUUGAGAACCUGAAUGUCGUGGUUGCUGUACUGGAUUUGAGGCUCUCACUGUUAUUUCGGUUAUAGCAAAGAGCCUUAGACAUUACAGGUGCUAAGACUUGCUGAGGUCGCAUCCACAGGCAGUGGUUGUCCAGACAAGAUGGGCAAAGGCUGUGGCACAAGCACUCUUAGAUAAACUAUAUGUACUGUGACUGUUUUCUUUCAUUAUUUUCUUAAGU